AUACUUCCCCUACAGCAUAUAAGAACUAUCCUCCUCCUACCAUCCAGCCAUCUAAUUUUGAUAAAGAGAGCCCCUCACCAUUUGAUCUUAGAUCCGACGUCUCAAAGUAUUUUAUUUUUAGUUUUUUUUUUUUAUACAAAUUGUAUGAAUAUGAAAUUUGGUACGUGCCAUCUUUUCAUUAGGGCGUACCUAUAAAAAAAUAUUAAAAAUAAUUUUUUG
rnacentral:lncRNA from 1 species